AGACCUAGCGAUUGACAUGGCCUUCAGAGGAUCUUGGACAGCGUCAGGAGAGGAUGACAUAGUCAACUGCAUACCUGCAAAAGAAUUCAGAACCUGAAUCGACAUCCUUUUCCACAGACCGUUGCAGUUCCUCUCACUGUAGACCGAGUAGACCCUUCGGUCUCAGUCAUGUGACUUACUUUAGUCAAGAAGACUUGAAAUGUGCAUGCAUAGAUGGGCUUGUCCUCUCACACCUCUGCCACCUUUGUAAAAAGAAGCUGUCCUGUUACGAUUUUGCACCAAGGAAGAUGACGGACACAGAAGCAUAUUUGGACCCAUCUCACACCCUGGCAUCCACGGCAGACUGGAGAGCCAAUUCUGUGCCUACUCACACACAUGUAAGAGAGAAUAAAUGGUUGCUUUAAGCCAGCAUUAGGACUGUUUAUUGUGCAACAAUAGCUGACUAGUACAACCACCCACAUUUAUGACUAUGAGUGAAAAGAUAUGUUAUUAACUGCAGUCACAUCAUCAAUUAACAUUACCAGAGUACUCAUUGCAGGUAGAAAUAUGCAUUUUGAGGAGGCCUAAAAGAGAUAUAGAAGUUUUGUCUGCUGCUCUGGAAGAUUCUGAUAGAAGGGUAUGCUGCUCAUCAGACUCAUUAUUUCAAUAACAUUUAUUGAGAGCAUACUCUGUGUCAGACACUGUGCUACAGCCGGAAGAACAAAGAUAAACAAGUCAGGCCUGACUUCAACAAGCAUGAGGCCUAGUAGGAGACACAGACUUGCAAACAAAGCGCUGCUUUAUAAAAUUUCCAAACCGGCUGGGCGCGGUGGCUCACGCCUGUAAUCCCAGCACUUUGGGAGGCCGAGGUGGGUGGAUUACGAGGUCAGGAAAUUGAGACCAUCCUGGCUAACACGGUGAAACCCGUCUCUACUAAAAAUACAAACAAACAAACAAACAAACAAACAAUUAGCCCGGUGUGGUGGCAGGCGCCUGUAGUCCCAGCUACUCGGGAGGCUGAGGCAGGAGAAUGGCUUGAACCUGGGAGGCGGAGCUUGCAGUCAGCAGAGAUCCCGCCACUGCACUCCAGCCUGGGUGACAGAGCGAGACUCCGUCUAAAAAAAAAAAAAGAAAAUUCCCAAACUGCAACUGUAUUUGAACUGUAUACAGUACAGUAUCUGGAGCCCAGCAUACAAUGUCCAAGUGUUUGCACCAGAACCCUGGCUCAACCAACUUUCUCACCUUUAUUUGCCUCAGUUCCCUCAUUCAUAAAAGCUGGAGAAUUCACAUUUAGGAUGGUAUCUGACAUGUAACAACUCAAUGUCAGCUAUUAUUAUCGCUGUUGUUAUUAUUAUUAAUAUCAACAUCAGCAGCAGCAGUAUUAAGGAUGAAGUAGCCAACCUUUCCUUGACCAUGGCACAUUUAGAGACAUUGAAAUUAUUGUGCUAAAUGCUAAGAGGGCUUAGAAAAUAAAUGAAACAAGGCUCCAUUCUCAAGAGGCUUACCAGAAAUAUUCACACAAAAAGGUCAGUAAUUAUAGAUGAUGAAAAGGAUGGUAACUGAAAGAAACCGUGUAUUAUAUACCUUGUCGAUUCAAACGAAAUUAUUUUAUACACAUAUAACCACCUAGACUUGAUUGGUUAGGGGUUUUCACUGGUAUGGUG
rnacentral:lncRNA from 10 species